rnacentral:rRNA from 1 species
UACGUAGGGGGCAAGCGUUGUCCGGAAUCAUUGGGCGUAAAGCGCGUGUAGGCGGUCCGGUAAGUCCGCUGUGAAAGUCGGGGGGCUCAACCCUCGGAUGCCGGUGGAUACUGUCGGGCUUGAGUACGGAAGAGGCGAGUGGAAUUCCUGGUGUAGCGGUGAAAUGCGCAGAUAUCAGGAGGAACACCAAUUGCGAAGGCAGCUCGCUGGGACGUUACUGACGCUGAGACGCGAAAGCGUGGGGAGCAAACAGG